UUGGGUAGGGGAGCGUUCUGUAAGCCUGCGAAGGUGUCCCGUGAGGGAUGCUGGAGGUAUCAGAAGUGCGAAUGCUGACAUAAGUAACGAUAAAGCGGGUGAAAAGCCCGCUCGCCGGAAGACCAAGGGUUCCUGUCCAACGUUAAUCGGGGCAGGGUGAGUCGACCCCUAAGGCGAGGCCGAAAGGCGUAGUCGAUGGGAAACGGGUUAAUAUUCCCGUACUUGGUGUUACUGCGAAGGGGGGACGGAGAAGGCUAUGUUGGCCGGGCGACGGUUGUCCCGGUUUAAGCGUGUAGGUGUGUGUUCCAGGUAAAUCCGGUUCACUUUAACACUGAGGCGUGACGACGAGGCACUACGGUGCUGAAGCAACAAAUGCCCUGCUUCCAGGAAAAGCCUCUAAGCAUCAGGUAACAUCAAAUCGUACCCCAAACCGACACAGGUGGUCAGGUAGAGAAUACCAAGGCGCUUGAGAGAACUCGGGUGAAGGAACUAGGCAAAAUGGUGCCGUAACUUCGGGAGAAGGCACGCUGACACGUAGGUGAAGUGAUUUACUCAUGGAGCUGAAGUCAGUCGAAGAUACCAGCUGGCUGCAACUGUUUAUUAAAAACACAGCACUGUGCAAACACGAAAGUGGACGUAUACGGUGUGACGCCUGCCCGGUGCCGGAAGGUUAAUUGAUGGGGUCAGCGCAAGCGAAGCUCCUGAUCGAAGCCCCGGUAAACGGCGGCCGUAACUAUAACGGUCCUAAGGUAGCGAAAUUCCUUGUCGGGUAAGUUCCGACCUGCACGAAUGGCGUAAUGAUGGCCAGGCUGUCUCCACCCGAGACUCAGUGAAAUUGAACUCGCUGUGAAGAUGCAGUGUACCCGCGGCAAGACGGAAAGACCCCGUGAACCUUUACUAUAGCUUGACACUGAACAUUGAGCCUUGAUGUGUAGGAUAGGUGGGAGGCUUUGAAGUGUGGACGCCAGUCUGCAUGGAGCCGACCUUGAAAUACCACCCUUUAAUGUUU
rnacentral:rRNA from 1 species